rnacentral:rRNA from 1 species
GAUGAACGCUGGCGGCGUGCCUAAUACAUGCAAGUCGAGCGAACAGAUGAGGAGCUUGCUCCACUGACGUUAGCGGCGGACGGGUGAGUAACACGUGGAUAACCUACCUAUAAGACUGGGAUAACUUCGGGAAACCGGAGCUAAUACCGGAUAAUAUAUUGAACCGCAUGGUUCAAUAGUGAAAGACGGUUUUGCUGUCACUUAUAGAUGGAUCCGCGCCGCAUUAGCUAGUUGGUAAGGUAACGGCUUACCAAGGCAACGAUGCGUAGCCGACCUGAGAGGGUGAUCGGCCACACUGGAACUGAGACACGGUACAGACUCCUACGGGAGGCAGCAGUAGGGAAUCUUCCGCAAUGGGCGAAAGCCUGACGGAGCAACGCCGCGUGAGUGAUGAAGGUCUUCGGAUCGUAAAACUCUGUUAUUAGGGAAGAACAAAUGUGUAAGUAACUAUGCACGUCUUGACGGUACCUAAUCAGAAAGCCACGGCUAACUACGUG